UCCAAAUGUCUGAGUGGCCGGCUCAUACUUGCCAUGGCGAUGUCUAUCCCUCCUCUCAAAGGAUGGAGCAGCAAGCUCCUUGUAGUUGCGGCCAUGAUAGGAACCCUGGUCGUGGUCGCCAUCGCCGCCGUCAUCAUCGUCGGCCUCACUCCGCCACUGGUCUUCUUCUCCAUCCAAGAUGCAAGCCUCCAAGGCGGGCAGUUGAAACAGCAAAAAUUCUACAACUUCACCCUCUAUGCCAACAACACCAGCCGGCGCAUGGAGGUGCACUAUACCAACCUCAACACCGAGAUCUGGAUAGCCCCGUCUGAGUGGUACCCGGCCGAGGUGAGCAUGAGCGGGUUCGAGCAGCCACCGGUGAGCAUCAACGGGUACAAGCAGCCACCGGACAACGUGACCAAGGUCGCCGGGUGGGCCGAGUUCUAUCAGACGACGUCGUUGACGGCGGCGGCGCAGGGCGGCGGCGCGGGGAAUUGGCCAAACUGCACUGUGGUGGUGAUGGCCAAGGUGUUGUUCAAGGUCGGGCUGGCACGCACACGGCCGUACCACAUCAGGGUGUUCUGCUUCCCCGUCAACUUCCUCAAUACGACUCGGCCCAUACAGGCCUAUCAGGUGGAUGGGCCGGCCGGCCUCCUGGAUCAACAAGACCGGUAUCCCUUCUUGGCCCGUCCGCCCCCGCUGUAGAAACAAAACCAGAACCAGCAGAUCCCCCGGGCCCUGAAGAGAAAGACGAUGGCAACAGAAGAAAGAGCUCGCGACGAAGCCGGCGAAAGCCCCCCAAACCCUCCCCAGCCCAGGCAGCGGCGGCGCGACGAGAUGGCCGACGACCCCACCGCCGGCGGCGGGAACACCGUCGAGGACGUCGUCCGCGCGGAGUGCCGUGGGCCCGCCACUUCCCUUCUGGCCCACAAGUCAUGGAGGCGCGCGAGGAGGGGUAUCGGUUUCACGAUGAUUAAUCAAGAAAGGCCCAAGACACGUCACGCUGGGGGUGGGGGAGGGAAGACACCGCACCGCAUGCACCUGCAUGCACCUUUGCCUUUGCUUUUCCCCGGCGUCCUAGGGACCUCGAGCUCGCCCGCCUAGGAGCUCCAGCAGCCGGGCCGCUCCGCCGCCGGUGCGGCAACCACGCCGCCGUCAGACCACCUCGCGCGGCCACCCCGCGCCGGUGCGCCGUGCGCGGCGGUGCUGUCCCGCCGCUCCUCCGCCUACCGUCCUCCUGCGCCACCACCAGCUAGCGCACCGGCAGCACCGCGAGCUGCCGCGCCGCCCCGACGACGUUGGUCAUUCCGGAGCCCGGUGUCGUCACCAGCGUCGCCGGAGAAGGUUGCAUUCAGGAGAUCGAGCUGCCGGAUCGGAGGAGGUCAUAUCAGCCGUGUUGGUUGUGCACUUGUGUUGCUGCCGGCGGAGAAGGAACCAUGGUGAUCGGGCCACUGAUCUCCAUAAUGUAGUUGAACUAAAAUAAUCCCCUUCUGAGUUUAGCAUCUUUCCUUUGGAUGAAAUAAAAAAUUGUUAUUCCGGA